UACGUAGGGUGCGAGCGUUGUCCGGAAUCAUUGGGCGUAAAGCGCGCGUAGGCGGCCCGAUAAGUCUGCUGUAAAAGUCAACGGCUCAACUGUUGAAAGCCGGUGGAUACUGUCGGGCUAGAGUACGGAAGAGGCAAGUGGAAUUCCUGGUGUAGCGGUGGAAUGCGCAGAUAUCAGGAGGAACACCUAUAGCGAAGGCAGCUUGCUGGGACGUUACUGACGCUAAGGCGCGAAAGCGUGGGGAGCGAACAGG
rnacentral:rRNA from 1 species